rnacentral:rRNA from 1 species
CCUACGGGUGGCAGCAGUGGGGAAUAUUGGACAAUGGGGGGAACCCUGAUCCAGCCAUGCCGCGUGUGUGAAGAAGGCCCUCGGGUUGUAAAGCACUUUCAGUGAGGAAGAACGCCUGGUGGUUAAUACCCAACAGGAAGGACAUCACUCACAGAAGAGGCACCGUCUAACUCCGUGCCAGCAGCCGCGGUAAUACGGAGGGUGCGAGCGUUAAUCGGAAUUACUGGGCGUAAAGCGCGCGUAGGUGGCUUGAUAAGCCGGUUGUGAAAGCCCCGGGCUCAACCUGGGAACGGCCUCCGGAACUGUCAAGCUAGAGUGCAGGAGAGGAAGGUAGAAUUCCCGGUGUAGCGGUGAAAUGCGUAGAGAUCGGCAAGAAUACCAGUGGCGAAGGCGGCCUUCUGGACUGACACUGACACUGAGGUGCGAAAGCGUGGGUAGCAAACAGGAUUAGAUACCCUGGUAGUC